rnacentral:rRNA from 1 species
UACGAAGGGGGCUAGCGUUGCUCGGAAUCACUGGGCGUAAAGGGCGCGUAAGCGGUGCGGUAAGUCCGCAGUGAAAUCUCUGGGCUCAACUCAGAGUCUGCUGUGGAAACUGCCGUGCUUGAGUGUGGCAGAGGGGGGUGGAAUUCCACGUGUAGCAGUGAAAUGCGUAGAGAUGUGGAGGAACACCGAUGGCGAAGGCAGCCCCCUGGGCUAACACUGACGCUCAUGCACGAAAGCGUGGGGAGCAAACAGG